rnacentral:rRNA from 1 species
CCUACGGGUGGCUGCAGUGGGGAAUAUUGGGCAAUGGGCGCAAGCCUGACCCAGCAACGCCGCGUGAAGGAAGAAGGCUUUCGGGUUGUAAACUUCUUUUGUCAGGGACGAAGAAAGUGACGGUACCUGACGAUUAAGCCACGGCUAACUACGUGCCAGCAGCCGCGGUACUACGUAGGUGGCAAGCGUUAUCCGGAUUUAUUGGGUUUAAAGGGCGUGUAGGCGGGAAGUCAAGUCAGAUGUGAAAGCUAUCGGCUCAACCCAUAGCCUGCAUUUGACACUGUAUGUCUUGAGUGCUGGGGAGGCAAGCGGAAUUCCGGGUGUAGCGAUGAAAUGCGUAGAUAUACGGAGGAACACCAGUGGCGAAGGCAGAUUGCUGAACAGUAACUGACGCUGAGGCGCGAAAGCGUGGGGAGCAAACAGGAUUAGAUACCCCUGUAGUC